UCCUACGGGUGGCAGCAGUGGGGAAUAUUGGACAAUGGGCGCAAGCCUGAUCCAGCCAUGCCGCGUGGGUGAUGAAGGCCCUAGGGUUGUAAAGCCCUUUCGGCGGGGAAGAUAAUGACGGUACCCGCAGAAGAAGCCCCGGCUAACUUCGUGCCAGCAGCCGCGGUAAUACGAAGGGGGCUAGCGUUGCUCGGAAUCACUGGGCGUAAAGCGCACGUAGGCGGACUCUUAAGUCGGGGGUGAAAUCCUGGAGCUCAACUCCAGAACUGCCUUCGAUACUGAGAGUCUUCGAGUUCGGGAGAGGUGAGUGGAACUGCGAGUGUAGAGGUGAAAUUCGUAGAUAUUCGCAAGAACACCAGUGGCGAAGGCGGCUCACUGGCCCGAUACUGACGCUGAGGUGCGAAAGCGUGGGGAGCAAACAGGAUUAGAUACCCUAGUAGUC
rnacentral:rRNA from 1 species